rnacentral:rRNA from 1 species
GACGAACGCUGGCGGCGUGCUUAACACAUGCAAGUCGAGCGGUAAGGCCCUUUCGGGGGGUACACGAGCGGCGAACGGGUGAGUAACACGUGGGUGACCUGCCCUCAGCUCUGGGAUAAGCCUGGGAAACCCGGGUCUAAUACUGGAUAUGACUCCAUGACGCAUGUUGUGGGGUGGAAAGCCUUGUGCGGCUGAGGAUGGGCCCGCGGCCUAUCAGCUUGUGGUGGGGUGANGGCCUACCAAGGCGACGACGGUAGCCGGCCUGAGAGGGCGACCGGCCACAC